CAGAGGAAGCGAUGCUGUAUAACUUCCAAAGCCAGGCUUAAAGAAAUGCUGUAGCUCCCAUUACUUUCUCAUCAAGCCCAGAGAAGGAUAAAUAAAAAAGACCUGGUAAACAGCCAACACCAACUGCCAGAUGUAUGAGCGAAGCCAUCUUGGCAUUCCAGACACAGCCAGCUUCCCAAUUCAGUGCAGCACCAUGAGUGACCACAGGCAAGAUCAGCAGAGGAGCCAUCUGUUUGAGCCAUCCAACCUACAGAAGUGUGAAAGUUUUGAAAGCUGCAAAGUCUAAGAUCAAGGUGCCAGCUGAUUCAGUUCCUGGUGAGACUUCUUCCCUGGCUUGAAGGCUGUCCCUUUCUCAUCGCAGCCUCACAUGGAGCAGCGGGGGAGGCAGGGGGAGAGUGCAAAAGACCUGGUAAGUCCCAGACACGUGGUGGAAACUGGACCUACAACCAGCAUUCGAAAAAAAGUGUUCAGCAAUAAUUGAGGUGGCAGCUGAUAAACCAUCAAUGUGUGAAGACUCCCAGGGAACAUUUGCAUUUCAAGAGAAAAACAAAGACUUCACACUCUGGAGGAACAGUAUUUUGUGGCUGA